GGCCUGACGUGCCUGGCCCGCCAGCGUUAGCUGUGUGAGUGUCGGGACGCGUCUGCCAUCCUUCUAGAAAACGUUCCUACUCUUCAUUGAGCCGGGGACGCUAUCUAGAUCUUUUACUUUGAAAAAAUUAGAGUGUUUAAAGCAGGCAUUUGCUAUGAAUACAUUAGCAUGGAAUAAUAAUCUAGGACUUCGGUUCUAUUUUGUUGGUUUCUAGGACUGAAGUA
rnacentral:rRNA from 1 species